rnacentral:rRNA from 1 species
AGAGCGAACGCUGGCGGCAGGCCUAAUACAUGCAAGUCGAACGGAUCCUUCGGGAUUAGUGGCGGACGGGUGAGUAACACGUGGGAACGUGCCCUUUGGUUCGGAACAACUCAGGGAAACUUGAGCUAAUACCGGAUGUGCCCUUCGGGGGAAAGAUUUAUCGCCAUUGGAGCGGCCCGCGUCUGAUUAGCUAGUUGGUGGGGUAAAGGCCUACCAAGGCUACGAUCAGUAGCUGGUCUGAGAGGAUGAUCAGCCACACUGGGACUGAGACACGGCCCAGACUCCUACGGGAGGCAGCAGUAGGGAAUCUUGCGCAAUGGGCGAAAGCCUGACGCAGCCAUGCCGCGUGAAUGAUGAAGGUCUUAGGAUUGUAAAAUUCUUUCAGUGGGGACGAUAAUGACGGUACCACAGAAGAAGCCCCGGCUAACUUCGCGCCAGCAGCCGC